CGGCUUCCGGGUAGUGGCAGGUGAGGCCGCGUGGGGCCAGCGGCGGCUCCUUGCUGGUCUGUGGCUCUGGGCCCAAGACCCGAGCCUCCUACAGGGGCGGCCCCCUGCCUGAGGCGCGGGUGGGUUCCGACCUCCGAGAGCCGGUGUGGAAGCACUGAGGGGCCCCUACUUUUGCCCCCGAAGUCAGCGGGGCAACAGCCGCUCCCUUGCAGGAGCCGGGCCGUGGGCGGAGGGCCCCGGUGGGUGAGAUCGGUGACCCCCGAAAACUCCGACCAAAGAGCUGCAGCAAGAAAGGAGUUGGUUCCCACAAACCGCCCAGAGUCAAGUGAGAUGUUUCUAAGGCCCUCGUUUUCUCUGUGCAUGGGAACUAAAAUCAGUCUGAUGGCAGCUGCACAAGAUGGGAAGGAGUAAUCCUUGAAAUUAGACCAAGGAAGCACGUGAAGUGUGUUUGCUCUCAGCCACCAGCCUCAGAAGAGCUCAAGUCCAGGUAGGGUACAUUUUACCUGAGAUCUACUCUGGGGUGUCUUCCCUUGGUCACAGCCUGCUCCCAGGCACUCCUGGUGAGUUGGGUCUCUUUCCUACAUGUUGUGUAGCAUUAUUGUCCCAUAUUCACAGUGAGCUGUCAGAUUCCCAGGAGCAGAAGCCUGUUUCUGAAGCAUCCAAUCAGUCUAGAAAUAAUAGUCUAGUUAUCUGAUUUUUCACAGCUCUUUGCCUUUUCCUUGCACUGAGGAGUUAGGUAGCUAACUUUAUUCACAUCAAACAGCUAUGGAAGUUAAAGUUAUCUCAGAUUCGGAGCUAUAGACAUUACUUAAGAAGCGCUGUGGUUCUUUAAGUAUAUUCACGUCAUAAGCACUCAGCAAACCAGGUUAUUCAAGAAUCCUCUUAUCUCAGAAAGCUGAUUACAUUAUAUAAAUUAUCAAGGCAUUUAUUUCAAAGAUACUGAGAAAAAUCAGAGCAUUCUUGUCAGGUGUCUGUGGCACUUUGGCACUUGACCCCAACAUUCUUAAACAUCCUCUCAUCAAGAGCAAGAGUGCCCCACACGCUUCUCUGAACCAGGAUGAGCCAGUGACUGCUUUGACCAAUUAAGUAUGAUAGAAAGGUUGCUAUGUGACUUUUCAGGCUGGAUCUGAAAAAGCCAUGCCAGUUUUGCUUUCUUUUCUUUGGAUACUUGCUCUGAGAGAAGUCUGCUGCCACAUAGAGUGUAUCUCCCCUAAGAAAGUCAUGCUGGAAAGGCCUUCUGGUCACAGCCCUGCUCAGCUUCCAGCAACAGCCAGCAUCCACUGCCAGCCAUGUGGACAGGCCAUCUUGGGUGUCCCCAGAUGUGUUGACGACUCAGCUCAGUGGAGCCUUCAGAUUGUUGCAGUCUCCACCAACAUCUGACUGCAACCUCUUGAGAAAUGCCUUGUGACAGCAAAGCAGCCAAGCCCUUCCGUAACUCAUAACCCACAAAAUCAUUUAAAAAGAUCGUUUUUAACAAAUUGGUUUUCGGUUCAUACCACUAAAGUUUUAGGGCAAUUUGUUUUACAGUGCCAUUGGGAAAGAAGUUUCUCCCCUUUGACACACCUCCUCACCAUUCCAGCUGCUCACUUUCACUUCUGAGUGUUUGUGCUGUAGUUGCUUCAGUCCAUAUCUUCUUGGGUUUAUCUUUUCAUACUUUACACAUAUACACACACAGCCACAUAGGCACAGCCACCCACAUAGAAAAUUGAUCACUUGGCUCAGUUCUACUCCCCAGAUGACUUCAUUCAGACCUCAUUUUUCAGCUG
rnacentral:lncRNA from 1 species